CAAGGAUUUCUCGGUGACCCCUAGAGAUAGGGCUCUCCCGGGUCUCCCCACCCGUGUCUAUAUACUCUUGUUGCUUUGGUGGGCCGUGGUCUCCACUGCGGGCUCUGCUCGUACGUGCCCGCCAGAGGACCAAACUCUGAAUGUUAGUGAUGUCUGAGUACUACAUAAUAGUUA
rnacentral:misc_RNA from 1 species